ACGAACGCUGGCGGCAUGCCUAACACAUGCAAGUCGAACGAGACCUUCGGGUCUAGUGGCGCACGGGUGCGUAACGCGUGGGAACCUGCCCUUAGGUUCGGAAUAACUCCCCGAAAGGGGUGCUAAUACCGGAUAAUGUCUUCGGACCAAAGAUUUAUCGCCUUUGGAUGGGCCCGCGUUGGAUUAGCUAGUUGGUAGGGUAAAAGCCUACCAAGGCGACGAUCCAUAGCUGGUCUGAGAGGAUGAUCAGCCACACUGGGACUGAGACACGGCCCAGACUCCUACGGGAGGCAGCAGUGGGGAACAUUGGACAAUGGGCGAAAGCCUGAUCCAGCAAUGCCGCGUGAGUGAUGAAGGCCUUAGGGUUGUAAAGCUCUUUUACCCGGGAUGAUAAUGACAGUACCGGGAGAAUAAGCUCCGGCUAACUCCGUG
rnacentral:rRNA from 1 species